rnacentral:rRNA from 1 species
UACAGAGGUCUCGAGCGUUGUUCGGAUUCAUUGGGCGUAAAGGGUGCGUAGGCGGCGUGGCAAGUCUGAUGUGAAAUCCCGGGGCUCAACCCCGGAACUGCAUUGGAUACUGCCAUGCUAGAGUACUGGAGAGGAGAUUGGAAUUUACGGUGUAGCAGUGAAAUGCGUAGAUAUCGUAAGGAAGACCAGUGGCGAAGGCGAAUCUCUGGACAGUUACUGACGCUGAGGCACGAAGGCCAGGGGAGCAAACGGG